rnacentral:tRNA from 1 species
GGAGAGAUAGCAUAAUGUUUUUGCAAAAAGACUCUCAUGCCUGAGCCACCAAAGGUCCUAGGUUCAAUUCCUAGUAUCACCA